CUCUCCUCCCGGCUUC
rnacentral:miRNA from 1 species